UACAGAGGGUGCAAGCGUUAAUCGGAGUAACUGGGCGUAAAGGGCGCGUAGGCGGUUAUAUGAGUGUGAUGUGAAAGCCCCGGGCUUAACCUGGGAAGAGCAUCGCAAACGAUAUAACUGGAGUAUAGGAGAGGGUGGUGGAAUUUCCGGAGUAGCGGUGAAAUGCGUAGAGAUCGGAAGGAACGUCGAUGGCGAAGGCAACCACCUGGCCUAAUACAGACGCUGAGGCGCGAAAGCGUGGGUAGCGAACAGG
rnacentral:rRNA from 1 species